UACCAGCACCCCGAGUGGUCGGGACGUUUAUUGGGCCUAAAGCAUCCGUAGCCGGUUCUGCAAGUCUUCCGUUAAAUCCACCUGCUUAACAGAUGGGCCGCGGAAGAUACUAUAGGGCUAGGAGGCGGGAGAGGCAAGCGGUACUCGAUGGGUAGGGGUAAAAUCCGUUGAUCCAUUGAAGACCACCAGUGGCGAAGGCGGCUUGCCAGAACGCGCUCGACGGUGAGGGAUGAAAGCUGGGGGAGCAAACCGG
rnacentral:rRNA from 1 species